UACGUAGGGUGCAAGCGUUAAUCGGAAUUACUGGGCGUAAAGCGUGCGCAGGCGGCUUUGCAAGACAGAUGUGAAAUCCCCGGGCUUAACCUGGGAACUGCAUUUGUGACUGCAUGGCUAGAGUGCGGCAGAGGGGGAUGGAAUUCCGCGUGUAGCAGUGAAAUGCGUAGAUAUGCGGAGGAACACCGAUAGCGAAGGCAAUCCCCUGGGCCUGCACUGACGCUCAUGCACGAAAGCGUGGGGAGCAAACAGG
rnacentral:rRNA from 1 species